UGGGGAAUAUUGGACAAUGGGGGGAACCCUGAUCCAGCCAUGCCGCGUGUGUGAAGAAGGCCUUAUGGUUGUAAAGCCCUUUAAGCGAGGAGGAGGGUACUGGUAUUAAUACUACCCGGUACUGUACGUUACUCGCAGAAUAAGCACCGGCUAACUCUGUGCCAGCAGCCGCGGUAAUACAGAGGGUGCGAGCGUUAAUCGGAUUUACUGGGCGUAAAGCGUGCGUAGGCGGCUAAUUGAGUCGGAUGUGAAAUCCCCGAGCUUAACUUGGGAAUUGCAUUCGAUACUGGUUAGCUAGAGUGUGGGAGAGGAUGGUAGAAUUCCAGGUGUAGCGGUGAAAUGCGUAGAGAUCUGGAGGAAUACCGAUGGCGAAGGCAGCGAUCUGGCGUAACACUGACGCUGAGGUACGAAAGCAUGGGGAGCAAACAGG
rnacentral:rRNA from 1 species